ACGCGCGGAACCUUACCAGGUCUUGACAUCUGAAUGACCGGUGCAGAGAUGUACCUUUCCUUCGGGACAUUCAAGACAGGUGGUGCAUGGUUGUCGUCAGCUCGUGUCGUGAGAUGUUGGGUUAAGUCCCGCAACGAGCGCAACCCUUGAUCUUAGUUGCCAGCAGGUUAAGCUGGGCACUCUAAGGUGACUGCCGGUGACAAACCGGAGGAAGGUGGGGAUGACGUCAAAUCAUCAUGCCCCUUAUGACCUGGGCUACACACGUACUACAAUGGCCAGUACAACGGGAAGCGAAGCCGCGAGGUGGAGCCAAUCCUAAAAAGCUGGUCUCAGUUCGGAUUGCAGGCUGCAACUCGCCUGCAUGAAGUCGGAAUUGCUAGUAAUCGCGGAUCAGCAUGCCGCGGUGAAUACGUUCCCGGGUCUUGCACACACCGCCCGU
rnacentral:rRNA from 1 species